UACGUAGGGUGCAAGCGUUGUCCGGAAUUAUUGGGCGUAAAGAGCUCGUAGGCGGCUUGUUGCGUCAGCUGUGAAAACCCGCAGCUCAACUGUGGGCUUGCAGCUGAUACGGGCAGGCUUGAGUUCGGUAGGGGAGACUGGAAUUCCUGGUGUAGCGGUGAAAUGCGCAGAUAUCGGGAGAACACCAGUGGCGAAGGCGGCGACCUGGGCAGAUACUGACACUGAGGUGCGAAAGCGUGGGGAGCAAACAGGG
rnacentral:rRNA from 1 species